AUAUUUGGGCAGGGGGGCUGGAAAGGCCGGCUGAGAUUUAGACCCUACGAAGUCUGAGACCCUUUAACCUGAUCUGGAUAAUGCCAGCGUAGGUAAGCAGUUUACUCUUUUA
rnacentral:ncRNA from 2 species